AUCCUGACAUGAAAUUCCAACAAUGAUAUUAGGUCUACAACUAACAUUAAAAUCAGAUUGCAUCCUAUACAUCUAUAGCAUACUCAGCUUCCAUUAAUCGAUUUACUUAAAACUCUUUCAACAUACCAAACCAAUCAUUGCACAAGGAUAUACCCUAAUGUAGACAUUCUAACGUCAGCAUCCGUGUAUCCUCCCACUCCUAGCUCCGAUCCUUCUCCAA
rnacentral:lncRNA from 1 species